CAUGUCGCUGGCGAUAAGCACCUUCUUUGAUCUUCUUAUUUUUUCAUUACAUUCUUUGCAGAAAGUGCUGAAUAUCACAGAACACAAAGAAAAGAGAAGGCGAAACUGACAGAGCUUAUAAACAUAGCAGGAAAGUUCAGAUAUGCACAUUUCUGCUGGAGUUUUAAGGAGCAGUGUGUUUCCUACAUCCUGAAGCAGAUGAACUUGAUGGGAUGGAGUUUCUUGAAAGCCUUUGAAGUUUUCAUGGCAAUUCCCUUGUUCAUUGCUACAAAAGUUUACAGGUUUGGUGAUAGGAGUUGAAGAAACUUCUCUGUGAAGAAAUCAACGUCAUCCACCAAGAGGAAAAGGGCAUGACAGGGUUAUAAAUCCAAUGUGUGAAGAAGUUCAGAUUGCCUCCCUGGAGACCUAGAAACAAAGCUUUCUGGAGAAAGUGAGUGGUCCAGGAGGAAUAAAGAUUCCUGCCGAAGGACAAUGGUCUCAUUUCUUCAUCUCCCCACCAAAAACCAGAGAGCCCAGCUCACAGGUGCAAGAUAUACUUUGAAUGAGUAUAUGUGAAUGGAAUUUGAAUCCAAGAUGAGAGUGUUUCAUGGUUCAUUCUUCUUACAGUUAAGAGUAUGAGGACCUGCCACCAGCUACCUGCUUAAUUUCUUCCUCUCAACCUUUCCUAUUGAAAACUCUCAAGCAUCUUGACCCCACACAGCGCAUUCUUCACAACAGUUGUUUUCAUACUCAUACUCUGCCCCUUUCGACUUAGGAAUUCUCAGAGUUGCCCCACAGGUCAGUAUCAAGGGAAACCAUCAAAUAUAGGAGCACCUCUUAUAACUAUUUUAUGUAUUGGGAAUGUAAGACAUUUUUGUUUUAAGAAA